AAAUAUUAUAGAGAGUGACUGUUAUUAAUGGUUUAAGUGAAAUUCAUAUUAAUGAUUUUAGUGAUAUGUUGAGUACAUGAUAUUGCUGCUUUCGAAUGUUUAAAGAGAUUUAGAAAUAAUUUAAGUAUGCAAGUGGACUCAUCCGGUUCGCCGGUGAGGUAUAAGUGGACCUAUCUGGGACGCCGGUAAGGAUUAAGUGGACUCAUCUGGUACGCCGGUGAGGUAUAAGUGGACCUGCAGGGAUUAAGUGGACCUAUCUGGGAUGCCGAUAGGGAUUAAGUGGACCCAUCAGGACGCUGAUGGGGUAUAUAGGUGACCUACUUGGGACGCCAGUAGGGUAUUUUGUGAAAUCCUUUG
rnacentral:lncRNA from 1 species